UACAAAAAUGGUUUCAAAAUCUAUGAACGGUUCGGGGAAAAGGUUCAAAAAACAUGGUCAUAUAAAAAAGCAAAAGGGUUUUAAAAAGGAAAAAAGCAAGGACCAAGCAAAUUAUAAAAAAGUAAAUGAACAGGUGGACAACAAUGUUGACAAACAAAAGGACAACAAAGUGGACAAUGAAAUGAACAACAAAAGGACCCAAAAAAUGACCCAAAAAUUGAACUUUACCGAUGAAGACGGAGCAACAAUAAAAAAAUCAAAUAUAUUAAUAAUUGUUAAAAAAAAAAUUAACUCAGAGCUAAAUAUUUUUUGUAAUAAUUUGAAAAAUUUGUUUGCUCCUUAUAGUAUACCUUUUCAAGUAGUAAAAUCAAAUAAGGCUGCUGAAUUAAGCAAAACAGCAAAAACAUUAGGUUUUAAGUUCACUAUUUUUUUAUUUAUACAUAAAUAUAACUUUUACCAUUGUAUUAAAGAUAAUUUUACAAACUUAUCAUUAACAUUCUUAAUUAAAAGUUAUACACUUGCAUCUGUAAUCAAAUCUGCUUAUUCAUUUAAUAAAGAAAUCGAUUUUAAUAAAUCAAUACCAUUACUUAUUUUAAUGAACUUUAAUAACACUAAACAUUUAGAAAUGAAGUAUUAUUUAACUAUUGUUCAAAAUACACUAAAAAGUGUAUAUCCCAGUGUCAAUCUAAAACGUAAUUUUAUGAAUAAUUAUAAUAGAAUCAUACUAUAUUGUUAUAAUGACGAUGAUCAAACUAUCGAUUUUCGUCAAUAUACAACAUACACUAAAGACAAAGAUAUUAAUAAAUUAAUAGAAGUAGCAUAUAAUAAAAAACAAUCCAAUGAAUGUGAUGACAUAUUUAAAUAUAUAGCAUCUGAACUUAAUAUGAAUAAGUCAAAAGAUGAUAAUAAAACAAACCUGAUGGAAAUAGGACCACGUAUAAGUUACAAAAUUUUUGAAAUUGCUGAUGAAGGAAUAGUUGUAUAUUCCAUGACAGGUAAAAAGCAGAGUAUCUGUCUGUAAAACAUACAGAUAUAUCGUUUUUUUACACACACGCAUAUAUCACUCUCAUAGUAAUAAUAAUUUAAGUUAAAAAAAAAAAAAAAAAAAAAAAAUUGCAUAAUUCUUGAAUUUAUACCAAGACAUAUAUAUAAAGUAAAUUAUUAUAAAUUUUUUGUACUUUUAAUAAUUUAAAUAACAGUAUCUUUUUCGUAUAUAAUAUUGUAUAUUAAAAAAAAAAAAAAAAUGUUAUUAAUGAAUUGAUUAGUCAUUUGGCUAGUUGUUUAGUAAUUUUAUGAGUCGGUAAGCCAUU
rnacentral:lncRNA from 1 species